CAGUCGCCACGGUAAUGCGUAUGUCACGAGCGUUAUCCGGAUUUAUUGGGCGUAAAGCGCGUCUAGGUGGUUAUGUAAGUCUGAUGUGAAAAUGCAGGGCUCAACUCUGUAUUGCGUUGGAAACUGUAUAACUAGAGUACUGGAGAGGUAAGCGGAACUACAAGUGUAGAGGUGAAAUUCGUAGAUAUUUGUAGGAAUGCCGAUGGGGAAGCCAGCUUACUGGACAGAUACUGACGCUGAAGCGCGAAAGCGUGGGUAGCAAACAGGAUUAGAUACCCCAGUAGUCCCUGUCUCUUAUACA
rnacentral:rRNA from 1 species